CCGAGAAGUUGGCGACCGCGGGGCGGCGGGGGCGGCGGCGAUGGCGUUGCGAGCCAGGAAGAAAGUAUUAGGGGAGAGGAUGGGGAGGAUACCCCUAGCAAAAGACCGUUGAGCUCCAGGAUUUGAAAGGAGCCUGGUCUUGGAGUUCCAUAGGGCCUGGGUUCGAAUCUGCCUCAGAACUGGCCGCAGUGAGCUCUUGCCCACACGCGCCUUCCUCUCUGUCGUCUGGGGGUGAAAGAGGGACAGACGCCUAUUACCUUGGGCCAAUCCUCCCUAUGCUGAACACCUGCAAGUUUUCCCUCCAUAAUUCCCUCCAACCGCCCCUACAGUAUGUGCGUGCAAUCUUUAUCCGCAUUCGAUGGAUGAGGACACUGAUGCGCCAGGAGGCCACGUGGGAAAAGCCCAGGGUGAACUGCGUCAGCCUCUCUCUGUGGGGUUAACUGCGGGGAACUGGUGACGGACCGUGACUACAGGAGAUCAGAAAGGGGAAGCCCAGCCUUCUCCGCAAAGUUCCUGCAAGGCAGAUUGAAGAUAAGAGUCCUCAGACUGAGGAGCCCUUCCCUGUCACCAGGAGCCAGGCAGCCCAGACAGGAAGCUGGGUAAACAAAGACCAUCUCCCGAAGCAGGAGCGGGCCGGCACGCUGCAGGACUUGUGGAUGAAACUACCUGGGGAAUUGGUAUGAUUUAGCCAGAGGUCUCAGAAGGAGAAACCAGGGUGUGUGGGGGAGAGGGAGAGACGCAGAGGAGCUCGAGUUGUCCCCUGGGCAGUCUUGUCAGCGUGAUGUCCUUGUACCUUCUGUGCGGUGACCUGCACAUACAUCUGGAGUAUUACCCGCCACAACCAUCCCGGGCCAGCCAGAUGCUUCAUCCUCUCUGCUUUCUGAUGUAGUCCUUCCAGGUUCUUUACGAUGACUGUGUUUCCUGUUUUAUGACUGUGGACACGCCAGGCUUGGAGAGGUUGGACUGCAGUCACGUCUCAAGUGUAAGAAGAGCAAUGAGAACCUGCCCAGCUCUGGAGUCCAUUCCCCUCUGAGUACCAACUAGGCGCUGUCCAUGGCAGAAUCGGAGCUGAGCCCAGAAGCUAGGGCAGUGUACAGGAUAGCUUCAUCCAGGAACGCCAGUCCAGUAGGGGGUCGGGUCACACAUAGGGGAGGCAAUGAUUGUAGGACAGGUGACAAGAACUAGCAGACUUGAGGCAGAGGACAGUGGGUCUCUUGAGACUGUCUCGGCACUCACACUUGGGAGGACCCAACAGAGCAAACAUUCCUUUGCUUCCAAAGGACAGUAUUCCUGGCUCAAGUUGGGUGCUGGGUGCUGAUUUAGGGGUGGGGGAGAAGAAGGAGGUCAAGGAGGUUGGAGCUGCUCCACCCUCAAAAGCUCUCAGAUUGAGUCUGCCUUCUGCCUCUUCCCCUUCCCACUGCUCCCAGGCCCUGCUCUGCCUGCCUGACAUUUCCUCCUACCAGGUGAUUUCCAGCCACACCUGAUUACGAGAGCCCGGUUCACCAGUCUCUCCUGCCAGAUGAGAAAACCAAGGCUCGGAGAGAGGAUUUGACUUUUCCAAGAUCUCAUAAGAGAAAAAGAGAGAGAGAAAGACGGAAGCCCUAAGAGGGUCUUGCUACUGAGGUCCAUCCGCAGCUUCAUCCAUCACAGAUUAUGAAAGUUCAGAGACUCUCAGCAAUAGUUACUGAGCCUGCUCUGUGCCAGCCCUGGGUAUCUGUGGAGAACAAGCCCAGUAAUGCUUCUGCUCUCAUGGAAUCCUCAUCUUCCAUGGAGGAGGUGGCCACUGAACAAAGACAUAGACUAGGUAUGUUCAGGUGGUGGUCUGUGGAGAAAGUGAAGCACGCAGAUGUGCUGGAGAGUGACUGUUUCAGCAGGGGUGGCAGGGCAGGCUUCCCUGAGGAGCAGGGGCCCUUGAGCCAACCCUGUCAUGCAGGAGCCAACCAGGCAAAGUCCAAGGAAGGGUGAA